AGUCGAGCGAACGGACGAGAAGCUUGCUUCUCUGAUGUUAGCGGCGGACGGGUGAGUAACACGUGGAUAACCUACCUAUAAGACUGGGAUAACUUCGGGAAACCGGAGCUAAUACCGGAUAAUAUUUUGAACCGCAUGGUUCAAAAGUGAAAGACGGUCUUGCUGUCACUUAUAGAUGGAUCCGCGCUGCAUUAGCUAGUUGGUAAGGUAACGGCUUACCAAGGCAACGAUGCAUAGCCGACCUGAGAGGGUGAUCGGCCACACUGGAACUGAGACACGGUCCAGACUCCUACGGGAGGCAGCAGUAGGGAAUCUUCCGCAAUGGGCGAAAGCCUGACGGAGCAACGCCGCGUGAGUGAUGAAGGUCUUCGGAUCGUAAAACUCUGUUAUUAGGGAAGAACAUAUGUGUAAGUAACUGUGCACAUCUUGACGGUACCUAAUCAGAAAGCCACGGCUAACUACGUGCCAG
rnacentral:rRNA from 1 species